rnacentral:rRNA from 1 species
UACGGAGGGGGCUAGCGUUGUUCGGAAUUACUGGGCGUAAAGCGCACGUAGGCGGUUUUGUAAGUUAGAGGUGAAAGCCUGGGGCUCAACUCCAGAAUAGCCUUUAAGACUGCAUCACUUGAACACGGGAGAGGUGAGUGGAAUUCCGAGUGUAGAGGUGAAAUUCGUAGAUAUUCGGAAGAACACCAGUGGCGAAGGCGGCUCACUGGACCGUUGUUGACGCUGGAGGUGCGAAAGCGUGGGGAGCAAACAGGAUAGAAACCCG